rnacentral:rRNA from 1 species
CCUACGGGAGGCAGCAGUGGGGAAUAUUGCACAAUGGGGGAAACCCUGAUGCAGCGACGCCGCGUGAGUGAAGAAGUAAUUCGUUAUGUAAAGCUCUAUCAGCAGGGAAGAAAAUGACGGUACCUGAGUAAGAAGCCCCGGCUAACUACGUGCCAGCAGCCGCGGUAAUACGUCGGGGGCAAGGGUUAUCCGGAUUUACUGGGUGGAAAGGGAGCGUAGACGGCAGUGCAAGUCUGGAGUGAAAGGCGGGGGCUCAACCCCCGGACUGCUCUGGAAACUGUACGGCUGGAGUGCAGGAGAGGUAAGUGGAAUUCCUAGUGUAGCGGUGAAAUGCGUAGAUAUUAGGAGGAACACCAGUGGCGAAGGCGGCUUACUGGACUGUAACUGACGUUGAGGCUCGAAAGCGUGGGGAGCAAACAGGAUUAGAUACCCCGGUAGUC